rnacentral:rRNA from 1 species
UACGUAGGGUGCGAGCGUUAAUCGGAAUUACUGGGCGUAAAGCGUGCGCAGGCGGUUCGUUAUGUCCGAUGUGAAGGCCCCGAGCUCAACUUGGGAAUGGCAUUGGAAACUGGCGGGCUGGAGUGUGGCAGAGGGGGGUGGAAUUCCACGUGUAGCGGUGAAAUGCGUAGAGAUGUGGAGGAACACCAGUGGCGAAGGCGGCUUUCUGGUCUGUAACUGACGCUGAGGCGCGAAAGCGUGGGGAGCAAACAGG